AAGAUGAUCGUUAGUCACGCAUGUCAAAUUAGUAUUUAUUUACUUCCGGGAAAAAUGAGACUAUUCUAUACUCGAAAAAUUCUUUUUAAUGCAUAGUUAAAAGGUUCCACUGUGCAGAGUGAACAGACAGAGAUUGAUGUGAUGCCAGGAUGGCAAAUGGUAGAGGACUACCGAUACAAGAUGCUUGGAAGAGUCUUCCAUAUUUUCAUGAAGAUUUUUCAACCACAGAAGAGGUGUCAAAGUACAUAAAAAAGAAGGCAAGAGGAAAAGCAGGACAUUUUCUCCUUCGGCCCAGUAAUAGAGACAGAAAUCGACUUACUGCAUCAAUAUAUUGCUCAGAUGACAGUGUGAGACACACAAACAUUUCUUAUGAAAUGUCAGUCGAAUUCCGCAGCUUGUACUACCUUGUGCCAGAAAAGAAAUUCGAAUCUCUUUCUCUUCUUGUGGAAUACUAUGGUGUAAACCCAGUAAAAAACAUGGAGAACAUCAGCAAUGUAUUUCUUAAAAAGCCAAUCAUGAAUAAAAAGUGGUUAAACAAUGGCAACUUUGAUGCAUUGUCUCGGUCAUCAUCUGACCGCAGUUUGAGUUUACACAGUUCCAUGAGUACAUUAAGCAUGAGUAAUGGUAGUUUGGGUGGAAUGGCAACGACCUUCGAUUCUGGAAGUAGUUCAUCCUUGUCAACUCCGACAUUACCGGGACAAACUCUGGCUCAGAGAUCUGAUUCCUUUGGGAAUACUUCUGUUACUAACGGCGGGACAUCUGUGAGGCCUUUACCUUUACCCAACAUGUCGUGCAUUGAACGUCGUCCACCCUUGCCCCUGCCCUCUGCUGUGUCGGACAAAAAGGAAGACGGACCUUAUAUGUAUUCAAAAGCUAGAGACGUCACUGAGGAUAUUUCGGAGCAGUUGAAAGAUGUGCUUAAGGCUAGUGAAAGAUGUGAGUGCGGAAUACCUCGACAUUUAGCUGAGUUGCCAAAAGGUUGGACUGUACAUCUCAGUAAAGAUGCGCCCACCAUCGGACGUUUGUUUUACCAAAACGACGCUGGUAUCACAUCCUGGGCGUUGCCCGAUGAUGUAAAAAUGCAGCUCACUAAAAAACAUAUUCAAAAUUUAACUACUAUCGAUCCAAACUGGAAAGUACAACGCUGAUGCAUGAUAACUUAAUGUUUUGUUAUUCAUAUUUAUUUAUUAUCUUCAAUUAAUGUAUAUGUACAGAUAGUAAGAUGUGAAGAUAGAAAUAUUUGCUCGAAAGGACACAGAGAUUUUUAUUAACUGUAUAUAGCUACUUGUUUGUUCUUGGUGAUUCAAUCAUACAGUCUGCUUAUAAACUCGCAAUCUGUGCUGUACAGUGAAUUAUUAAUAUUUUAUUGUGAAUUACAAACAAUAUUUACAAAAAACACUGUCUAAGUGUUCUUUUUUCAAUAAAUAGUUUGAUGUGUUUUAUAAAUUAGAUACAUGUUAUUGUCUUUCAUUAAAACUUUUCAUAUAUGCAGUUCAGUUAAAUAUGUAGUGAAUAUCUGUAUGUAUACAUAUUACUUAUUCUUGAUUUUAACACGAUAAUGUGCUUUCAGUUUAAUAUGUUUGGUGAAAGUUAAGUAAAAACCUUUAGAUAUUCUAUCAUCUUUAGCCUUUAUUAGUCCCAUGCUGUAAUGAAAUGACCUGUAUUAAUUGUAUUCAAGUGUACACAAUGCAUAUUGUACACAAACAGAUAUGGCAAUGCUGCUAUUGAAAUGACCCUGGCCCAGUUUGGCAAAGCUACAUGCACAAUUCUUUGAAUUACAAAAACAUUUCAUAUCCAGUGUGGCAUCUAUUCGUAAAAAAUUGUUAAAAGUAUCGACUGUGUCUGUUAAUUGUAAAUAAAAUCAAGAAACCUAUAAAUGUGUUCAUUCCUGUAAAUAUUAUUCUGUGAAUUUAAAAUGCAUGAAUGAGGAAGAAUGGUGGAAGUAGCUUUAAAAAAGAUAAAACCCCAGUCCAUGAAUAUUUUUAAAACAAAAUAAAAUCUUUAACAAAAUUCACUAAUGGACAUUUAAAAGACCAAAAUAAGAAAUCAGCACUGAAAUAUCUGCUGCAUAGAACAGGUCAGUUCCUUUGUUUCUCAGGUGAGCGACUUUGGGCCUUUCAGGGCCUCUUGUUUUAACACUACUGUUUUGUUAUCAGUCCAGCAUGGUCAGGAAAGGGUUAUAUGGAAAAUGUAUCAGUAUUUUUAUGCCGCUCUUCGAAAAAGAGGGGGUAUAUUGCUUUGCUCAUGUCGGUCGGUAGGUCGAUCGGUCUGUCCAUCCACCAGGUGGUUGUCAGACGAUAACUCAAGAACGCUUGGGCCUAGCAUCAUGAAACUUCAUAGGUGCAUUGAUCAUGACUUGCAGAUGACCCCUCUUGAUUUUGAGGUCACUAGGUCAAAGGUCAAGGUCACGGUGACCCGAAAUAGUAAAAUGGUUUCCGGAUAAUAACUCAAGAACACAUACGCCUAGGAUCAUGAAACUUCAUGGGUAGAUUGAUCAUGACUCGCAGAUGACCCCUAUUGAUUUUGAGGUCACUAGGUCAAAGGUCACGGUGACCCGAAAUAGUAAAAUGGUUUCCGGAUGAUAACUCAAGAACGCAUACGCCUAGGAUCAUGAAACUUCAUGGGUAGAUUGAGCAUGACUCGCAGAUGACCCUUAUUGAUUUUGAAGUCACUAGGUCAAAGGUCAAGGUCACUGUGACCCGAAAUAGUUAAAUGAUUUUCGUAUGAUAAUUCAAGAACGCAUAUGCCUAGGAUCAUGAAACUUUAUAGGUAGAUUGAUCAUGACUCGCAGAUGACCCCUAUUGAUUUUCAGGUCACUAGGUCAAAGGUCAAGGUCACAGUGACCCGAAAUAGUAAACUGAUUUUCGGAUGAUAACUCAAGAACGCAUAUGCCUAGGAUCAUGAAACUUCAUAGGUAGAUUGAUCAUGACUCGCAGAUGACCCCUUUUGAUUUUGAGGUCACAGGUCAAAGGUCAAGGCCACGGUGACCCGAAAUAGUAAAAUGAUUUUCGGAUGAUAACUCAAGAACGCUUUUGCCUAGGAUCAUGACACUUCAUAGGUACAUUGAUCAUGACUUGCAGAUGACCCCUAUUGAUUUUCAGGUCACUAGGUCAAAGGUCAAGGUCACAGUGACAAAAGUUGUAUUUACACAAUGGCUGCCAGUACAACGGACAGCCCAUAUGGGGGGCAUGCAUGUUUUACAAACAGCCCUUGUUGAGUACAUGAUGGCAUUUACAUGUACUUAAAGCUUCAACAAUUAGUUGUUUGUUUUCACCAACAUUUCCAAACAAAUUUAGUAGGUACAUGUAGGCCGGCUGAAGUUUUUCCUUCACUUCUUUCUUAUCUUGUUUAUCAUUUACAAGUAUUUUCCCACUUUGACAAGGUAAUUCAAUGACAUAAUAUUUAAAAGCUCUGUUUAAUAUUUGUUUAACCUCAUAUGCAAACAUAAAGUUGACGAAAAAUUAUGGAAAAUACUUUUUUUUAAAGAUAAAAUCUCAACCUGAAACACCCCAAAAAGUUAAGUUAAGGGACUUCGCUUAAAAAACAAGACUUGUCUUGUUUGUGAAAACAAAAUCACAAAAUUAUGCCAAAAAUGACUUGAUUUAAAAAAAUUAAUUGAACCAUUUUUAUACAAAAUCGUUUUUUCUUUAUGUGUUAUAUUUUAAUAGUUUUUCAUUAAAGUUAUAUGUAAUAGUUCACUACCAUUGAUGUUGAAUUACUGCAUAAAGCAUGCUCAUUUAAUUCUUUCCAUUAAAUGAUAUAAAGGUGUAAUAUUACCUUUUCAUAGAGCCAUUUUAUAAAUGAGGAAAAUUUGCUGCAUACAUAAUUUGCACUACAACUAAAUAUUCUCAUUCAUUCAUGUGUGGUUGGAUAGGAGUGUAUCGUGAACUGAAGAUAUUGAAUUCUCUUCCAUCAUUAAAUAUUACUGUUCAGGUAUAAGUAUAGAUAUUUGUAAACAAUUGUUAAGGCUUUUCAUACAAGUCACUGCAACAAAAUAGAUUGUGAAGAGUAUGCAUUAUGUAUUUAUUUUUUAACAAUUGAUAAUGCUCUUCAUUGUUUAUGCUGACAGUCAUUUCUUCCAUAUAGAUGUAUAGAUAUAAAUCUAGGAUUCAUCUGCCAUUUUCCACUCUACCCCCGAAACUAGUUGCUCUACAUUUUAAAAUUUGCCAAAGUAAUAUAUCUGCAAAGUUUUCUUGUGCAUGCCGUUCACAAUUAGUUAAUGGCAACGGAUAGUGAUUUAUGAUUAAGAAAAAACAACACAAACUCUGAUUACCAUUGUGGAUGUUGAUGCAUUAAUAAGUGUAUACUUGUAACAAUUCAGUGAAUAAAUGCACUUGUCUAGCAGCAACAUAACUGUUUCAUACAGCACUUUUUGUUAUUUAUAUGGUGAUUGAGUAACUUCAUUAACAAUACUUAAAUCUUUUAUAAUCACAUUUGAUACAAAUAUAUUAAAAUUGAAAUGGCUUAAGAAUAUUUGCGGUUGUUUGAUUUGAAAACAGGUCAUACUUAUUUCAAUUGUGUUGUUUCUUUUUAGUUUCCAGAUUGUAAUUCAAAAGGAGGAAAUGCAUUUAUUUAUCUAGAUGAAAUUUGGAACAUUGCCACAUGUUCAAGGGCUGUCUGCUGUAUUGAUGCAUUGAUGUUACAUCAGUGAAUGGAAAUUAUACGUUUAAAGUUUUGUUACAAUUGUAAAACAGAUAUUGCAGCAGAAAUGUAAGUAAUAAAAAUCAAGGUUAUUCACAGUUCUAAAUGCUCCGUCGGAAGCAACAGGAGGGUUAGAAAAAUCCCUUUGAUCCCUCAGUCUUUCUGUAACAUUUUAGUUUCUGCCCUGUAUGUCCUAUAAUCUUGACACCUCUGGAGCCUUUGAUUUGCAAUAAACCUGUCUCAAAUUUUAAGGUUAACAAUUAUUUCAGAAUUCGGUCAUGAUGGACUCUUAACAUUCAUUCACAACGAAAUUCUUAUAUUAAUGAUUAUUGAGAAUUUGGUGUGUUUUGUUAGUAUUAUCUGUAAUUAAACCAUACAUAACAAUUUUAAUUGUAUGUGUCGUAUUAUGUGUUUUAAGCUUAUGUUUGUGUAACUUGUCUACUGCAUUUGCUCAAUGUCAUUUGCCUAGUAUUGUGCUUCAUUUGAAAGUGUAACAAAAAUCAAACAAGGAAGGUAUAUGAGGCACACUCUGGGAAAAUGGGACUGAAUGCAUAAAGUGCUGUCCCAGAUUAGCCUGUGCACGGGGUCCCAGAUUAGCCUGUGCAGGGGGUCCCAGAUUAGCCUGUGCACGGGGUAAUCAGGUACAACUCUUUCUGUUUUUAUGGAUGUUUUGGUUAAAUGAAAGUCUGUUAAUGCUGAAAGUGUUGCCCCUGAUUCGUCUGUGCAGAGUGCACUGGCUUAUCUGGACUCCAUUUAACCCUUUGAAUUGCGUCCAGUUUACCCAGAGCAUGGCUCAUAUUUAUUGAUUGAUGUGUACCC